ACCUAACCAGACAGAGGAGCUGACAUCAGGCACAACCUAACUGCCCAAAACACCUAGUCUCACCACACCCCCAAGGGUCCUCAGCAGUGAUUAAACUUGUCUAUAAGCGAAAGCUUGACCCAGUUAUAGAGAAGAGAGCCGGCCAACCUGGUGCCAGCCGCCGCGGCUAAACCAGGGACUCAAGUUGAUAAUAAUCGGCGUCAAGAGUGUUUAGGGGUUAAAAAAAUUAGGGUCAAAUCAAUACUUAGUAGUAUAAAGCUUGUUAUUGAGAAGACCAUGAACGAAAGUUACCCUAAUAUGCCUGAAUACACGACAGCUGUGAUACAAACUAGGAUUAGAUACCCUACUAUGCUCAGCCGUAAAAAAUUAACUUACACCUAACAACGCCAGGGAAUUACGAGCAAUGCUUAAAACCCAAAGGACUUGGCGGUGCCCUACCCAACUAGAGGAGCCUGUUCUGUAAUCGAUAAUCCCCGCUACACCUCACCACUCCUAGCUAAUCAGCCUGUAUACCUCCGUCGAAAGCCCACCAUGUGAACGCUUAGUAGGCUCAAUGCAUCAGCACGUCAGGUCAAGGUGCAGCCAAUGGAGUGGAAGAAAUGGGCUACAAUUUCUAACAUAGAACAAACGAAAUACUGUGUGAAACCACGGUCAUGAAGGUGGAUUUAGUAGUAAGAAGAAAAUAGAGUGUUCUUCUUAACCAGGCCAUGG
rnacentral:rRNA from 1 species